rnacentral:lncRNA from 1 species
CGCUCCGAAGAGUUGCCUGGUCGUGGAGCUGGACUGCGACUGAAGCAGGAAGAGUGGGGGCUGUGGUGACAUGAAGCAGCCCUGCCGCUGAGGCUCCAUUGUCCCCACUUCAACGUGGGGACCCCCCAGGAUGAGCAAGCUGCCUGGCGAUCUGGCCGGUGACUUGGAGCGCAGUUUGCCGGCCCUGGCCUCCCUGGGCACCUCACUGUCCCACAGCCAGAGCCUCUCCUCACACUUCAUCCCACCACCUCUGGAGAAGCGCAGGGUCGUCUCUGACGUCCGCCGCACCUUCUGCCUCUUCGUCACCUUCGACUUGCUCUUCAUCUCCCUCCUCUGGAUCAUCGAGCUAAAUGUGAGUGGGGGGCCAUGUUGUGGGGGAGGCAGGCCCCUGGUUCCUAGAUCACACACUUGCCACACGGGAGGGAUGCCUCAGCCAUGGGGUUGCUUAUCUGGGUAGUGAAGAAUGGGGAGUGAUGUGGGCCGUGUUUACCGUCACAUAAAGAGAGCUAACAGGACCUGAGGGUGGGGGACCAGAGGGGUUGACAUUUGUCUAGGCUCCCAAGAACCUGAAGGAGCCCAGUUGAACAGAUCUAG